GGCUGAUCUGUGGAGUGCACAGUAGUCUGAGAUCCCUGCUCAGCCUUGGGAAAACAUGGGAACAUCAUCAGCAGGUCCAGACUGGGCAGACCUAUUUAUAGGUCCCCCAAUGGCAGACAUGUGCACCAGUGCUGAGGAAGAAUCAAGUGGGUGACCACCAAGUACUCAGAGGUGUGCCCAGAUGUGGAGCUGAGAAACCUCCUCAGCUCCAAGUUAUCUGCAUGGGUAUGGGGGUGGCCUAAACCCCUAAUCCAGGAGAGUGGGUGCUUCAGGUGCCUGGAGACCUGCCUGGCUGUGCAGAUGGCCCUGCUACACCACAAUCCCUGCCCAGGAAGGGUAGGGCAGCUCAGGCUGGUAACAGAUGCUCUGACUGCUGGAAAAUAUGCCUGGAUGUGGAGAAGAGAGGGCCAUGUUUCACCAUGGUCUCUGCACAGGAGGGGUGAGCUGGCUCAGGCUUCUGUUUCAGCUGUCCACUUUCAGGUGAAGUUGAGCAUGGAUGAUAUGAUGUUUGUGAGCCUGAUCAUGUUGUACCCCUAUUAUAUGCUAUGCCACUGCAGCGAUCAAGCUUGUCUAAAACCACCCCUGCCUUCAUACCACUCAAGGAGAAGACAAAUAUAGUUGGUUAUUGGAAGAACCAACAGGAUUUUACAGGAUAAGUAGACAUUUCAUAGAGCUCUUGAAACCUGAAAAUGAUUGACAUUGCUGUGUGAAAGGAAAAUAUCUUGGGCCCCCAAAAUCACUAAGUUAAAGGGAAAAUUCAAGCUGGAAACUGCUUAGGGUAAACCUGCCUCCCAUUCUAUUAAAAGUCAUCCUUCUGCUCACUGAGAUAAAUGCAUGUCUAAUUGCCUCCUUUGAAAGGCUAAUCAGAAACUCAGAAGAAUGCAACCAUUUGUCUCUCACCAACCUGUGACCUGGACCCUCCCCGCUUUGAGUUGUCCCACUUUUGUUUUGAGUUGUCCCGCCUUUCCAGACUGAACCAUUGUUAUAUAUGUUGAUUGAUGUCUCCUGUCUCCCUAAAAUGUAUAAAACCAAGCUGUGCUCUGACUACUUUGAGCACAUGUUGUCAGGACCUCCUGAGGCUGUGUCACAGGCAUGCAUCCUCAACUUUGGCAAAAUAAACUUUCUAAAUUAACUGAGACCUGUCUCAAAUUUUGGGGGUUCACAUUUGGUAACCAUGGAGGGAUUCUGAGUGGAGAUGCCCCUGACUUCUGACAAAUCUCCUAUCGGUUCUUCGUACCAGCAUGAGCUAACUUUAUAGCUCAAACCAAUAGGACAAUUUGCUGAGGUCAGGGAGCAACCCUUCCAGAGAAUCCCUGAUCUCCAAAAAUUUGGUCAAGAUCUAAAGUUUAUUUUGCUGUAUACUCCUUUUGUUUUUCUUGCUUCCAACAAGGAAGGCAAGAUUUCCUGUUUCCAAGACAAUGGAAAGCAGGUAACUCCUUUAUGGAGUUUGAGCUCGCUCCCAGCUGGGAAGACGAGUUGGAGUAUUUUUCCUGCUUCUACAAUGGUAGAAAGCAGUCUUCAGCCUAAGAUCCAUCUCUGGGUAAGUAGCUGAAUUGUGGUUUUGUCUUGGCUAAAGUUCAACAACCAGCUUAUCAUUGGAGCACUCAGUGAUCAUAUUGUUGGGCUUUGUUGUUGUUGUUUGUUCCAGUCUUUCUCCCAUCAGAUUUCAUCAACUCUAUCUGACUUGGACAAAUCCAAGUGAGAAUUGCAAAUGAUGGGUAACAAGCCCUCUCUAAUUUGGCUAAAAUUCCUCAUAGCUGCAAAAUUAAACAAAGAGAGAAAACAAGAAAACCAUGUGUUUGGUUUCUGUGUUCGCUUCCUUUCUUUAAAAAAAAAAAAAUUGUUCUUUUGUUUACUUUUCUUCCACCCUAUACCUCCUUCCCCCUUUGCCAUCUGAAGUAUCAAAAAUUCUAGAGAAAGCUUCUAAUGACUUUCAUACACGUCCGUGUGAAGAGGUCACUAAACAGGCUUUGUGUGAGCAACAUGGCUGUUUAUUUCACCUGGGUGCAGGCAGGCUGAGU
rnacentral:lncRNA from 10 species